UUGACUUCUAUCGCAAAGGGCUUCCUUGCUGCUUCUUUCUUCUGUCCCUUUCUUCUCCCCCUCACCUCCUCCUUCCUUCCUUCCUUCUUCCCCCCCACCUUUCUUUCUCCUUUUCUCUCUUUCUCCCUUCCUCCCUUUCUUCCUCCCUCCUUCCCUCCUCCUCCUCUCUCUCCUCUCUUUCCUCCAUCAGAGUGGCCCCAUGGCUCUUUGGGAACUGGACCCAGCGGGGGUUGGGGGGGUUGGAUAGCAGCAGACUUGGUUGCUGGCAGCUACAGAGGGAACACGGCUUUCCUGCCCCAGCGCUCCUAACAAAGUGCUGGCGAGGACCAGAGCGUGUUAAGACCCCUGGCUGACCAGGAUUUCUCAUCAAUUCCGUGGGAAUGGAAGCUCCCUGCCAGCCACUUUCCCAGGGCUGCUGUGGAGACUUCGUAUUUGAUAAAUGAACAAAUGAUCGAGCCCUCUUCUAUCCCGUGGAAGACUACCAAGGUGCCGUGCGCUUUUCCCCAGGGCGGAAGAAGAGUCAGCGUGGCCAUCACCCGGGGAGCCGUGGAGGACGGCGAGCAAGAGAAUUCUAGAACUCUGCUAGAAGCUCGGCCGGGCCCAAACUCGAUGAUCCAGUCCUCCAUUCCGUGUAGCAGAAGGAACACAGGGUUUGGCCACAGCUCAAGUCCUACGUAUGUAAUUUACCCAGAGGGACUUCGGCAGGUUGCUAGAGCCCCUGAGCCUCUGUUUGCUCAUCUCUCAAACGGGCAUUAUAAUCACCGUGACCUCGCAUGAUGUAGCGAUAGGAGCCAAUUCGACAUUUCCUGGAAAAGACUCUGUACCCUUGGAAGCCUCCGGCAGAUGCUGGCUAUCGUUACUAAGGACUUUGGGUCUGAAACCGGAGAAACCACAUUCAGAUCCCAGAUCUGCUACUCUGUGGCGGGGAGAUCAGAGGCAAUGUAGAACCCUCUUUGGAGCCUCAGUUUCUCUCAUCUGGUAAGUAGAAAUAAUGCCACCUACCCUAGAGAGUUUAUGAAAAGUCAAUAGAGGUUAAAAAGCAGACCCUGGUCUCAGGGACGAGGGUUGCACUGAAUGGUAGUUACAAUUUUCCAUAGGAGUAGAAGUGAUGACACGGACAAGGAACUUGCCACGGAAAGUAACCCAGGCUCGCAGGCGUCUUCUGUUCCACUCAGCUGCAGCUCCCCAUGCUGUAAUCACUCAAUAAAUAUUUGCUGAUUGAUUGAGGGUGACUGAUC
rnacentral:lncRNA from 1 species